AUUGAACGCUGGCGGCAUGCCUUACACAUACAAGUCGAACGGCAGCGCGGGGGCAACCCUGGCGGCGAGUGGCGAACGGGUGAGUAACAUAUCGGAACGUGCCCUGGAGUGGGGGAUAACUAGUCGAAAGAUUAGCUAAUACCGCAUACGAUCUCAGGAUGAAAGUGGGGGACCGCAAGGCCUCACGCUCGUGGAGCGGCCGAUAUCUGAUUAGCUAGUUGGCGGGGUAAGAGCCCACCAAGGCGACGAUCAGUAGCUGGUCUGAGAGGACGACCAGCCACACUGGGACUGAGACACGGCCCAGACUCCUACGGGAGGCAGCAGUGGGGAAUUUUGGACAAUGGGGGCAACCCUGAUCCAGCAAUGCCGCGUGAGUGAAGAAGGCCUUCAGGUUGUAAAGCUCUUUUGUCCGGAAAGAAAUCCCCCGGGAUAAUACCCUGGGGGGAUGACGGUACCGGAAGAAUAAGCACCGGCUAACUACGUGCCAGCCGCCGCGGUAAGAC
rnacentral:rRNA from 1 species